CACAUGUGCGGCUGCAGGAUGUUUGGCUGGAUUCCUUCCCAGCCACCCUGUAGGGGAUUUGCAGACAGUGUAAGAUGGAGAGCUGGGAGUUACUCUGAGUUCUUGGAGCAACCUAACGCUAGGAUGGAGAAGUCAGGGUGACCUUCCGGUAUUGUAGAUGCGCACGAUUCACGGUCCAGGAUUAGUUUAUGGAGUUGAGGACACCAACAAUAAAACAGGUUAAGUCAAACAAGUUUGCAGACUCCUGAUCUACGUGAUGAUUACAGAGACCUGGACUAAUUAAGGAGUUAGCAAUAAGAGAGAAAGAAGAACCAGUUAUGAGGACACUGAAGAAUUUUUACUUCAAGAUCCUGACAAAUGCUUAAGGGGUUGUUAAAGCACAAGUCUAUCUCAGGUAUUACAGUAAAUUUGAGUAGUUUUGCCACUGUGAGCGACAGGUACGAUACCACCCUCUUGCCUCAAAAAAGAAAAGAAAAAAGAAAAGAAGAGCCUAUUCUGAUGUUCUGAUUUGUUACAAAAUAACUAAUCUACUAUCUUUGAAAAAAAAUGCCCAUAUUUUAUCUCAAGUUUUAUGAUUUGGGGGAACAAACAAGGUACCCAGUGAACUCAAUGGUUGGGAAAGUGGAAUAAUUCAAGAUAGUGUAGACAGAAGAAAUGUUUUAGACAUUUGCUGAAGUACAGCUUCAACCAAAGUGGAAAAACUGCAGAAUUCUGAGAAAAUAAGAGCAAUGGACAUGUGUGAAUUC